rnacentral:lncRNA from 1 species
UUAAGAUGCGUUGAGGUACUUAAAUGGUAAUUAACUGUGUACAUCUAUAUUUUUAACAAUAACAUUUCAUUUAAAGUGUUUAUACAAUCUUGACAACUUUAUGUUAGAAACAUAAAGACACUUCGCUUGAAGUGUCUACAAAACCCGGGUAACUCCACAUUGAAAAUAGGACACCCCACUUAAAGUGUCCAGCGCUUAAAACAAGGAGUCCCCUAGUUGACAUCACCAGAACAAUUCAAAGUGGAGUUUCCAGCCAUGCCAUGUCUUGUCAUAUCCAAGUGUCCAAAAGUAUUGAUACUCCCAUACAACUUAAAAAUGGAGUGUCCAGGAAUCAACUCUAAAAUUCCAGAUCACAUCUUUCAAGUAAACUAACAACAUACACCAUUGUUUACAUUUUGCAAAGUAACUAGCAAGAAACCUUCCCGUCUUUUAAAAGAGGUUACGAAAAAUGAUUUAACCCAAUGUUGUUAGCUGCUAAAUAACUUGGACUGUAAAAUUCUUAGGAUGCCAACUCUCCAUUACAACUCUCAUAUGAUUCCUUCCAUCUUAUGUUGAGUGGUAGAGCUUAAUUGAAAUAGUUUAGUUACUUCAUCUCUAAACUCUUGUUCUCCCAGUUAGGUCAUGCUUGAAAAAUAACUCAAGCUUAUUAGAUCCCUCUUCCAUUACGUAUUUCAACCAACCACCAACUCAUUUCAUCUCAAAAAAUCCCUCGUAUAUGGUGCUAGAUAGGCGCAGAAAACAGCUCAUGGAAGGCUUUGACUGGCCCACUCCGUGGGCCUCCAAUUUGUUUAAAGCCCUAACUUGAUAAAGAUUUUAUGUGACCUGACUGGCCCUUCAAGAAAUUCUUCCUUCAGAUCUGGAGUCAACUUAAUGUGCUCAAGGGAUCCCUAGGUUGAAUUGAAGUUCAAUAUUGAUGACGAUAGUGAAAGUAAAUAAGAGUGUCCUCUCUUUUCUCAUUGUUCCUCUUAACUUCAAUUUUCUCUCCCCAUCAAUAGACUCCCCACCCCGCCAUAAUGACCCUUUGUUUUGCUAAAUCUUUAAUGGUAUAACAGAUCUUCUUUCAGAUCUGGCAAAUUCGAAUUGUUUAAGGCUAAAAGAUCCCCAACAGCCUUCACCCUCAGAUCCAUUACCUUUGCUGCCACAAACUACUACUGUUGUUUAUAGCCGAAACAAGCAAGUAAACAGCAACUCUGCAGGUAAUCCUAAGGCAGUAGUCUAUCAUCGACUAAAACCACAACAGUAGGUUACAGUGGACAAUAACAGCCCUCUUGAGUUUUGGCUGCACUAAUUUGCUUUCUUUAUCCCAUAUGGUUAAAAUACAGUAACUGAUCCAAGCAGCUCGUAUAUAUAUGUCAAAAACUAUCAACACAAUGAAUGAUACCAUAUGUAGUGCUUCUUUAAUAUCACAUCCAUCUUAACAACGCUAUGAUUGCAUUUGUUCUGCCAAUCUUACAAGUACCAACAACUUUAACCAGAAAGACUCAAAUUGCACUUCUUCUGCAUAUUAUUUGCCAUCCAGAUCAUAUGAAAAUGAGAUGAGAUAGCAUCAAUAACUGUUUCUGAAUGCUUAUUCCAUAAAAUUUUGCUGCACGUAUAUUCUCAUAAAGCCCAUCCAAAAUUUUCUCGGCAACUCCUAACCUCAUGAGGUCAGCAAGCUUAUUUCAGCUCAUUCAGCUCCAGUACCAUUAAUUUAUAUGUGCAUUACAUCCUACAUGUUCCAUGAAAACACUCACCAUUCUUGACUCCAAUGAAAAUUAUUGUAGCCACUAGGCUGCUACUCUAGACUAACUAAUAGCAGCCCAAAAAUUAACUUAACAUAUACAUUAAUCCCACUGCAAAUCAGCAGCUGCCUGGCCAUAAGGUUUAGAAACUUAGUUUUGCUUUUAGUUCCGGCUUGAUAGUAUGAGCUUUGAAUCAGGUGAUAUUCGCAACUUUGGUUGUUUUGGCUCCAAUUUCAGCAGUUUCAGUUGAUAAUUAUAGCAUCUCAUAAGACAUUGAACUAAUUAAAAGAAUAAAGUAAACGAUAUACAUCAUUUCUGAGUAUAUUAUACUGUUUGAGUCCUUUGGAUGUAUUGCUUUGGUGGCUUUGCACUCUAACAAUCAAAUCAUUCUUUUUUGCAAAAUAUACUGUAAAG